rnacentral:lncRNA from 1 species
AGUAAAACUAAAAAUCAUACAAGACUAACAAAGGCCAGAGGUUCACAACUUGAGACAGGCGCAAAAUUGCGGCUAGUUAAACAUGUUUUUGAGAUCUCAACCUCCCCCUAUACCUCUAGUCAAUGUAGAAAAAACAUACACACAACACUACGCACAGUAAAACUCAGAUGAAGAGAAUUCUGAGUCCGAUGUCAGAAUAGGUCAC